GUGCUUACUUCAGCGGCACAUACACUAAAAUUGGAACUAUCCAGAGAAAAUCAGCAUGGCCCCUUAACCAGGAGGACACUCCAAUUCAUGAAGAGUUAUUUCUUUCU
ensembl:snRNA U6 U6 spliceosomal RNA